rnacentral:precursor_RNA from 13 species
AGAAGGCUCGCUCAUUGCUUAAUCCAGCCUAUCCGGCCUGGGAGCACUCUCUAGUGAUAUACAUGGGGAAAUUGCCACCAGGUCAGAUGGGUUUGGUUGGCUCACUGCUUCAGUGCAUCA